rnacentral:rRNA from 1 species
UUCCUACGGGAGGCAGCAGUGGGGAAUCUUGCACACUGGGCUCAAUCCUGAUGCAGCAACGCCGCGUGAAGGAAGACGGUUUUCGGAUUGUAAACUUCUGUUCUUAGUGAAGAAUAAUGACGGUAACUAAGGAGCAAGCCACGGCUAAUUACGUGCCAGCAGCCGCGGUAAUACGUAGGUGGCAAGCGUUGUCCGGAAUUACUGGGUGUAAAGGGAGCGUAGGCGGAAAGCCAAGUCAGCUGUGAAAACUACGGGCUUAACCUGUAGACUGCAGUUGAAACUGGCUUUCUUGAGUGAA